GACGAACGCUGGCGGCGGGCUUAACACAUGCAAGUCGAACGGAAAGGCCCUGCUUUUGUGGGGUGCUCGAGUGGCGAAGGGGUGAGAAACACAUGAGUAAGCUGCCCUUGACUUUGUGAUAACUUCAGAAAACUGGGGCUAAUACCGGAUAGGAGCGCCUGCUGCAUGGGGGGGGUUGGACAGUUUCGGCGGUUGUGGCUGGACUCGCGGGUUAUCAGCUGGUUGGGGGGGUAGUGGCUUACCAAGCCUUUGACGGGUAGCCGGCCUGGGAGGGUGGACAGGGACAAUGGGCCUGAGGUACGGCCCAGACUCCUAUGGGAGACAGUGGUGGAGAAUAUUGUACAAUGGGGGGACGCGUGAUGCAGAAGUGCUGCGAGCGGGAUGAAGGCUUUGGUGUGGUAAACCGCAUUCGCCUGUGACGAAGCGUGAUUGACGUUAAUGGGUAAAGAAGCACCGGCUAACUACGUG
rnacentral:rRNA from 1 species